rnacentral:misc_RNA from 1 species
UCGAGCUGCCCCUCCGAUAGU